AAGAACUUAAGUUAAAAAAACUAAUAACCUUCAAAGUUAUAGAUAAAAGAGAAUCUUUUAGGACUUA
rnacentral:tRNA from 1 species